rfam:Camelus ferus unplaced genomic scaffold scaffold884, whole genome shotgun sequence.
GAGGGUGUAGCUCAAGUGGUAGAGCAGAUGCUUAGCAUGCAUAAGGUCCUGAGUUUAAUCCUCAGUACCUCCU